rnacentral:tRNA from 1 species
GCAAAUAUAGUUUAACCAAAACAUUAGAUUGUGAAUCUAAACAUAGAAGUU